rnacentral:rRNA from 1 species
GACGAACGCUGGCGGCGUGCCUAAUACAUGCAAGUAGAACGCUGAAGGAGGAGCUUGCUUCUCUGGAUGAGUUGCGAACGGGUGAGUAACGCGUAGGUAACCUGCCUGGUAGCGGGGGAUAACUAUUGGAAACGAUAGCUAAUACCGCAUAAGAGUAGAUGUCGCAUGACAUUUGCUUAAAAGGUGCAAUUGCAUCACUACCAGAUGGACCUGCGUUGUAUUAGCUAGUUGGUGAGGUAACGGCUCACCAAGGCAACGAUACAUAGCCGACCUGAGAGGGUGAUAGGCCACACUGGGACUGAGACACGGCCCAGACUCCUACGGGAGGCAGCAGUAGGGAAUCUUCGGCAAUGGACGGAAGUCUGACCGAGCAACGCCGCGUGAGUGAAGAAGGUUUUCGGAUCGUAAAGCUCUGUUGUAAGAGAAGAACGAGUGUGAGAGUGGAAAGUUCACACUGUGACGGUAUCUUACCAGAAAGGGACGGCUAACUACGUG